CGGCAUCAGCUCAAAUUUGAAAUCUGGCUCUUUCAGGGUCCGAGUUGUAAUUUGCAGAGGAAGCUUUGGGCGCGGCACCGACCGAGUCCCCUGGAACGGGGCGCCAUAGAGGGUGAGAGCCCCGUAUGGUCGGACGCCUAGCCUGUGUAAAGCUCCUUCGAC
rnacentral:rRNA from 1 species